UGGUUGGGAAAGGCAGUUGGGAAAGCAGUUGGCAGACAGUUAGAAAUAGAGAGACAGUUAGUGCAGUUGGUUCUUUUGUGAGGGGAAGUAGAAGAGUUAGAGACAGGAUAAAAUAAGACUAAGAAGGAGGUUGGCAGUCUUCUACUUCUCCUGGAUCACAGAACCUGGAUCCUCAGGUUGUGGCGAUAGCUAACUUGCGUUUUUUCUAGUUACAGGAGCUUGUUUCAUAAUGACUGCCAGGGCUGAUUCACACUUUACUAAACAGACAUGCCUGCCAUGUAUCCAUCGGUGCAGGAGUGUACAGGGGAUGACCCAGACGGCCAGUGGCUGUGACUGACUGCUCCUCCCUGGAAUAUAUUUAUCUCCAUGGACGUGCAGUUUUCUAGUGUUUACCAUGGCAAAUACACACUGCAGACAUGUGAAGUGGUGCUCUGUUUGGCCCACGAAAGACUUAAGCCACAGUGUGCAACACAUAUUCACUUUGUGAAAUUCACCAUCACAAGGU